GUGGAUAAAUUAAUAAAAAAAGAAUAAUAAAAAAAUUUUUAAGUUUGAUUAUAUUAAAAUAUUUUAAUGGGGGUUAAAGUAUAUUGAUAGAAAAAAUUAAAAAUUUUAUAAAGAAUUAGUAUUGUGAAAAAAUUUUGAAAUAAAUGAAAAUAAAAUUAUUUAAAAGUAAUUUUAAUUUAAUGUAUCUUGUGUAUCAGAGUUUAUUAAAUAAUAUUUUAGUAAUAAAUAAUUCUCGAAUUUUAAAGAGAUAAUUAAUUAUGAAAGUUAUUGUAACAUAAAUAUUUUUAAUAAUUAAUUUGAAAUGAAAUGUUAUUCGUUUUAAAAGAUAUCUAGUUUUUUUAGAAAAAAAAUUUAAUUUUAAAUUUAUUUUAAUUAUAAUAUUAAAUUAAUUGAUUAAUUAAUAAUAUUAAGUAAAUUUUAUAUUUUAAGGGAUAAGCUUUAAAAUAAAUUUAAUAUAAUUAAUAGAUUUAUUUAAAUUUGAGAAUUUUAUAAUUUAUAUUGUUAAUAAAUUAUAAUUUAUUAUAAAUAAUUUUAAAUUAAAAUAAAAUUUAAUUUUAAUUUAUUUUUUUUUUAUAAAAAAAAAUUUUUUAAUUAUGAAAAAUUAGUUAUAAUGAUAAAAUUAGUAUAUUAUUUUAUUAAUUUAAUUUUUAAAAUAAAAUAUUAAUUAUUUUAAAGGAAUUCGGCAAAAAUUUAUACUCACUUGUUUAUCAAAAACAUGUCUUUUUGUAAAUAACAUAAAGUCUAAUCUGCCCACUGAUUUUAAUUAAAGGGCUGCAGUAUAUUGACUGUACAAAGGUAGCAUAAUCAUUAGUCAUUUAUUUGAUGAUAUGUUAAGAAGAAUGGAGUAAGCAUAAAGAGUUUCUGAAAGAAAGCAUGAAAAAUUUAAUUCAGAGUAAAAAUAAUUGAUAAAACAAAAAGACGGGAAGUCCCGGGCAGAACUCAUUGAAGUGUAGCCAUUUAAUUUGGGUAUAGAAACCACCUUUAAUUUCCAGCAAAAUUUUGAGGGGGGGGAAAAAAAACUUCACAUCCAUUGUUUGUUAUAGAUCUAUCUAUCUAUAUUAUAAACAUAUAUAAGUGAUUUUUUGAUCCAAUUUUAUUGAUUAUAAGAAAAAGUUACCUUAGGGAUAACAGCGUAAUUUAUUUUUUUAGUUCAUAUAAAAAAAUGAGUUUGCGACCUCGAUGUUGGAUUAAGAUAAAAAUUAAAUGCAAAAGUUUAAAUUUUUGAUCUGUUCGAUCAUUAAAAUCUUACAUGAUCUGAGUUCAGACCGGUGUAAGCCAGGUUGGUUUCUAUCUUUUAAAUAAAAUAAUAUUUUAGUACGAAAGGAUCAAAUAUUAAAAUUAAAUUUUAUUUAUUGAAUUUUAAUAAUAUGUUUAUUAUAUAAAUAAAUGUUAGUUUUAUUUUAGUG
rnacentral:rRNA from 1 species